rnacentral:SRP_RNA from 1 species
GCUAGGCAUGGUGGUGCGUGCCUGUAGUCCCAGCUACUUGGGAGGCUGAGGUGGGGGAAUCACUUGAACCCGGGAGGCAGAGGUUGCAGUGAGCCGAGAUCGCACAACUACACUCCAGCCUGGGCAACAGAGUGAGACUCCAUCUCAA